AUGGGGCGGAUGGGAAGGUGGUCCGACGGGAAGGAACGUGGGCGGAGAACCGCGCGGAUCUGCGGUGGAGGAAAGGCCUGGCGACGCCGCCCCGGUGUUUCCGGGCUGCCUCCUCCAGGCGGCCCCAAGGCGCUGCCCUGCUUGCCGCACCUGCUCCCGACCCGACGCCGCACCUGCCCGGUGCACCUGCUGGCUUCCCACCUGCGGGUGCACCUGCUGGCUUCCACAUCUGCUUGGUGUACCUGCUGGCUUCCCACCUGCCCGGAGCACCUGCUGGCUUCCCCACCUGCCCGGUGCACCUGCUGGCUUCCCACCUGCCGGUGCACCUACUGGCUUCUGUACCUGCCAGGUGCACCUGCUGGCUUGGCUUCCGCACCUGCUUGGUGCACCCGCUGGCUUCCACCUGCCCGGUGCACCUGCUGGCUUCCCCACCUGCCCGGUGCACCUGCUGGCUUCCAGCACCUGCCAAGUGCACCUGCUGGCUUCUCACCUGCGCGGUGCACCUGCUGGCUUCCCACCUGCUGGUGCACCUGCUGGCUUCCAGCACCUGCCAGGUGCAUCUGCUGGCUUCUCACCUGCACGGUGCACCUGCUGGCUUCCGCACCUGCCCGGUGCACCUGCUGGCUUCCCACCUGCUCGGUGCACCUGCUAGCUUCCAGCACCUGCCAAGUGCACCUGCUGGCUUCUCACCUGCGCGGUGCACCUGCUGGCUUCCCACCUGCCAGGUGCACCUGCUGGCUUCCAGCACCUGCCAGGUGCAUCUGCUGGCUUCUCACCUGCGCGGUGCACCUGCUGGCUUCCGCACCUGCCCGGUGCACCUGCUGGUUUCUGCAGCGCUCCCGCAGAGUGCACGGGGCCCGGGGCUCUGCACCGCAGGCCUGGGUCCCCAGCCGCCCCGCGCCACACGGCAGGCUGUGCCAGGGCCUCCCGGCUCCACCUGACUUCGGGCGCCCAGUGACCCCAGGGCUGCUCAACAGCCUUAGGCUUUUUAAAAAUAGCAUUCCAUUGUUGCAUCCUGACGUUACACACGAAGAAAAAAAUAAUUAA
rnacentral:lncRNA from 12 species